UACAGAGGUCCCGAGCGUUGUUCGGAUUCACUGGGCGUAAAGGGUGCGUAGGUGGCGAGGAAAGUCGGAUGUGAAAGCUCGGAGCUCAACUCCGAAAUGGCAUUGGAAACUACCUUGCUCGAGGGUUGGAGGGGAGACUGGAAUUCUCGGUGUAGCAGUGAAAUGCGUAGAUAUCGAGAGGAACACCAGUGGCGAAGGCGAGUCCCUGGACAACUCCUGACACUGAGGCACGAAAGCUAGGGGAGCAAACAGG
rnacentral:rRNA from 1 species